GGAAAGGCAGUCCAAAGCUGAGGGUCUGUGUUGAUCUCUUUGUAUCUGGUCUCUCUAGUUCAUAGCAGAGCUCAUGGAUACAGCUUCUCUUCCUGCACUGUGGCUGCAGCUCAGGAAGAUGUGACUAGCAUUGUUGGAGAUUAUGUGGUGGUUAAGCCAUGAAGCACAGCAUUCAGAAAUCCUUCAAUUGUUAAACCCCUAGCCUAAGAAAGUUUUGCAGCCUAUGUGCCGUUCAGGAAUAUUACAAAGUAAACUUUGUUAGCAGUAGUUUUUACCACAAAUUACACAAGAACAGAGGAUGAGGACAAUUGCAUCAAAUCCAUUUGCCCCACAGAUUGCUUGUAGUUGCUCAUAACCCUUUACACGGUUGGUGGUUUUUUGUGGACUCCUAUCUGAUGGAUGCACUGCUCUGUUGAGACAAAUUUCAGGAGAAAACACCCUAGAAUUACCAUUUCCUCUAAAGAGAAAGGGCUUCAAUAACUCUCUUUUCUUCUGCCAGUGAGAAAAAUGGAUACCAGGCGUGAAAGUGAAAAAAACACUUUUUUGUUAAAAAAAAGAAAUUAAUAAAUGCUAGAUAUUGAAGUUGCGGUAACUUACCGCAACUUUCCCCCUUGGUGCAGUUCCUCUCACGGCCGUUAGGGGCGCUGGCGUCUCCCCAGCUAGGCCAGGCGGGUGCGGUGAUUCCCCCGCGGCUGCAGGUGGCGCUGUAGGCGCGCGUCAAACGUCUCUCACAGGGUCCUGGCCGAGACAGCUGGCAGAAGGGAUGGAGAAGUAGCUUCCUUUACGAACCCCAAGGGGCAGCUGACCACGCUGCCCCUGUGGAUAGCAGAAAGUGCUGCAGCAGGAACUUCAGGAGAAGCAAGCUGGAAAGGCAGGACGGCCUCACCCGCAGGGCAUCAGAGGCACAAGGGAUGUUGACGUCUGAAAUUACAGAGUCUUUGCACCUACAAGAUAUUUGUUUUUUGAAACUUUGCAUUGUGCUAAUUAAAGGCUCAGUUGUAUUAAACUGGUACAUGUAGCAUUGCUUUUUCUUAAGUUUCAUGGAAAGCAGUGGAGCUGUUGCAUCUCCUGCUACAGUGCAACCAAAUACUAGACAGUGAGG
rnacentral:lncRNA from 1 species